AGUGAACGCUGGCGGUAGGCCUAACACAUGCAAGUCGAACGGCAGCACAGGAGAGCUUGCUCUCUGGGUGGCGAGUGGCGGACGGGUGAGGAAUACAUCGGAAUCUACUUUUUCGUGGGGGAUAACGUAGGGAAACUUACGCUAAUACCGCAUACGACCUACGGGUGAAAGCAGGGGAUCUUCGGACCUUGCGCGAUUGAAUGAGCCGAUGUCGGAUUAGCGAGUUGGCGGGGUAAAGGCCCACCAAGGCGACGAUCCGUAGCUGGUCUGAGAGGAUGAUCAGCCACACUGGAACUGAGACACGGUCCAGACGCCUACGGGAGGCAGCAGUGGGGAAUAUUGGACAAUGGGCGCAAGCCUGAUCCAGCCAUACCGCGUGGAUGAAGAAGGCCUUCGGGUUGUAAAGCCCUUUUGUUGGGAAAGAAAUCCAGCUGGUUAAUACCCGGUUGGGAUGACGGUACCCAAAGAAUAAGCACCGGCUAACUUCGUGCCAGCAGCCGCAGUAA
rnacentral:rRNA from 1 species